rnacentral:rRNA from 1 species
CCUACGGGUGGCAGCAGUGGGGAAUAUUGGACAAUGGGGGCAACCCUGAUCCAGCCAUGCCGCGUGUGUGAAGAAGGCCCUCGGGUUGUAAAGCACUUUCAGUGAGGAAGAACGCCUGGUGGUUAAUACCCAUCAGGAAAGACAUCACUCACAGAAGAAGCACCGGCUAACUCCGUGCCAGCAGCCGCGGUAAUACGGAGGGUGCGAGCGUUAAUCGGAAUUACUGGGCGUAAAGCGCGCGUAGGUGGCUUGAUAAGCCGGUUGUGAAAGCCCCGGGCUCAACCUGGGAACGGCAUCCGGAACUGUCAAGCUAGAGUGCAGGAGAGGAAGGUAGAAUUCCCGGUGUAGCAGUGAAAUGCGUAGAGAUCGGGAGGAAUACCAGUGGCGAAGGCGGCCUUCUGGACUGACACUGACACUGAGGUGCGAAAGCGUGGGUAGCAAACAGGAUUAGAUACCCCUGUAGUC